AUACCGUGAAACUGCGAAUGGCUCAUUAAAUCAGUUAUCGUUUAUUUGAUAGUACCUUACUACUUGGAUAACCGUGGUAAUUCUAGAGCUAAUACAUGCUGAAAACCCCAACUUCGGGAGGGGUGUAUUUAUUAGAUAAAAAACCAACGCCCUUCGGGGCUUCUUGGUGAUUCAUGAUAACUUUACGGAUCGCAUGGCCUUGCGCCGGCGACGGUUCAUUCAAAUUUCUGCCCUAUCAACUUUCGAUGGUAAGGUAUUGGCUUACCAUGGUUUCAACGGGUAACGGGGAAUUAGGGUUCGAUUCCGGAGAGGGAGCCUGAGAAACGGCUACCACAUCCAAGGAAGGCAGCAGGCGCGCAAAUUACCCAAUCCCGACACGGGGAGGUAGUGACAAUAAAUACUGAUACAGGGCUCUUUUGGGUCUUGUAAUUGGAAUGAGUACAAUUUAAACCUCUUAACGAGGAACAAUUGGAGGGCAAGUCUGGUGCCAGCAGCCGCGGUAAUUCCAGCUCCAAUAGCGUAUAUUAAAGUUGUUGCAGUUAAAAAGCUCGUAGUUGAAACUUGGGUCUGGCUGGCAGGUCCGCCUCACCGCGUGUACUUGUCCGGCCGGGCCUUCCUUCUGGAGAACCUCAUGCCCUUCACUGGGCGUGUUGGGGACCAGGACUUUUACUUUGAAAAAAUUAGAGUGUUCAAAGCAGGCCUUUGCUCGAAUACGUUAGCAUGGAAUAAUAGAAUAGGACGUGCGGUCCUAUUUUGUUGGUUUCUAGGACCGCCGUAAUGAUUAAUAGGGACAGUCGGGGGCAUCAGUAUUCAAUUGUCAGAGGUGAAAUUCUUGGAUUUAUUGAAGACUAACUACUGCGAAAGCAUUUGCCAAGGAUGUUUUCAUUAAUCAGUGAACGAAAGUUAGGGGAUCGAAGACGAUCAGAUACCGUCGUAGUCUUAACCGUAAACUAUGCCGACUAGGGAUCGGGCGAUGUUCUUUUUCUGACUCGCUCGGCACCUUACGAGAAAUCAAAGUUUUUGGGUCUGGGG
rnacentral:rRNA from 2 species